CUAAGAAUAUUCCGCAAUGGGACGAAAGUCUGACGGAGCGACGCCGCGUGGAUGAAGAAGGCCGGAAGGUUGUAAAGUUCUUUUAAGCAUGAAGAAGGAUUAUUGCAGGAAAUGGCAGUAAAGUGACGGUAGUGCUUGAAUAAGAGGCGGCUAAUUACGUGCCAGCAGCCGCGGUAACACGUAAGGUGCGAGCGUUGUUCGGAAUCAUUGGGCGUAAAGGGCAUGUAGGCGGUCUGUCAAGCCAGGCGUGAAAGCCAGGGGCUCAACCCCUGAACUGCGCUUGGAACUGGCGGACUGGAGUCGCU
rnacentral:rRNA from 1 species